rnacentral:rRNA from 1 species
UACGUAGGUGGCGAGCGUUGUCCGGAUUUACUGGGCGUAAAGGGAGCGUAGGCGGGCUUUUAAGUGAGAUGUGAAAUACUCGGGCUCAACUUGAGUGCUGCAUUUCAAACUGGAAGUCUAGAGUGCAGGAGAGGAGAAUGGAAUUCCUAGUGUAGCGGUGAAAUGCGUAGAGAUUAGGAAGAACACCAGUGGCGAAGGCGAUUCUCUGGACUGUAACUGACGCUGAGGCGCGAAAGCGUGGGGAGCAAACAGG